AAUACGACUCUCGGCAACGGAUAUCUCGGCUCUCGCAUCGAUGAAGAACGUAGCGAAAUGCGAUACUUGGUGUGAAUUGCAGAAUCCCGUGAACCAUCGAGUCUUUGAACGCAAGUUGCGCCCCAAGCCUUCUGGCCGAGGGCACGUCUGCCUGGG
rnacentral:rRNA from 2 species